UUUUUUUUUGGGGUCCUACUUGUGUCUAAGAAGGGAAAAUACACAUUGGUCAACAGAUCAUUCAAAGUCUGGUCACUGAAUUAAUCCUAAAAUGCACAAUGUUGUCAUUGAUCUUAUUCCAUAUGAUGAUUGAGUCCUUUUGUGCAAUUGGAUUGUGUUGCUGCUGUAGUUUUGGAAUUUUUUGUCCCAAUGCAGGAGAAUGAAUUUUGCUGGUGCAUUUAUGUCUAGUGAUUGGGUUAGAAUUGUAAAAAAAGAAGAAGAAAAGGAAUACUGCAUCUAAUUACUCUGGUUAUUUCUUUUUCUAUUUAUCAGUAAUUUAUUGCUUUGUUUCCAUUCAUCAUGUAGGCAUAAAAUGCAUGAAUACAUCUUGAUCUUGGAUGCCUCAAUAGUUACAGUGCCAAUGUGCCAUGUAUACUUUAUUUCAUAAAUUCACUUACAAAUAACUAUUAGAAGAGAGACUAAGGGCCUAAUAACGUAUAGAAAAUUGUGAUAAUUUCCUAAACAAGAAAACCGGAAAAUAGAGUUUUGUGGAAUUGUGUUUAAAUGUGCUAGUAUUCUGAAUGAAGAAUUGGAAAAUAGUUUUUCAAUUUUUCAAAAUUUAACUAAAAUUUGAAAAAGAAUUUUAAGUUGGUUUCUACUAUUUUCCUUAUAUUGUUUUAAUUAUGUAGGAUAUGAAUUUUUUUUUUAAAUUAGAAAAUGUUUUCUAUUAUUGACAGCCGAACACGCCUUUUCAUGUUUUCCCUUUUCUUCAGGAAAAUGAAAAUUGAAAUUUUCAUUAGAAAAUGGAAAAUUAAAAAUGGAGAACUGUUUUUCAAAGUAAACAGGCCCUAAAUGUUUAUCGUUUGCCCUAAAUGUUUAUCGUUUAUCACAUGGAAAUCACGGAAUUGAUUUUGCUCCUUUAACAUUUUUACUUCCUUAGGGUUUAGUGAAUGCCCACAAAUCCACUUGAUAGAACUUUCAAUUUCAGGGUGCAAAAGGAUGUGGAUUUAUCUUUGAUAGAUCUAUAGUUAAGAAUAAGUGUUAGUUAUAAGACAAGCUGGGUGCAAAUUUAGAGAAAAUAACAUGCAAGGUCCUGGUAGUUGAGGAUUCACCCUGUCCUUAGAAAAUUGGUUAGCAAAUGGUAUGGAUUGAACUUCAAUGGAGAAUCUUGUUAUGCCUAUUUCUUCCCCCCUUUUUCAAAUUAUAAUUGAUUUCUUUUCAUUUAUUUCCUUUGUUCCCCUUUUCUUUUGUCCCCCUCUUCCUUUGUCUCCCUUAUGUCACAACUCAUGAAAAUACAAAAAAGAAUAUUAGUGACCGUAUUACAUUGCUAAGGUAUCAUAAUUUUCUUGCACAAUUAGGGUAAUAGGAGUUUAGAUAUAUAUAUAUGUUCAUUAAUGAUAAGAGUGCCCUAGAGAUUAAUGUGCAGACUGCAAUUUGCCCUUUUUCCAGGCGUGAUACAGGUCCUUUAAAAGUGAAAUUUACCACGUUCAUUUAGGCUAUGGAAGGAAAUUUUGUUAUCUUGAAGACUUGAACAUGAUGAUUGGUAGGGGCAUAAAACGACUUCAAAUACAAGCAAAUCUAUAAUGAGUAAUGGCAAUGGUGUUUAAAUUGCUUGAUUGUUUUGAUGUUUUCUGAAUCAAACAUUUGCAUUAACUGAAGAGUAAGUUAGCAUUUACAGAUGCCAUAAGCAACAUUCUGGUUGUUAUAAAAUUCCUACAUUUAUUGGUUGCUUGAUCCACAAUUUUUUUUAUUCCAUUUUCAUUGAAUGGUACUAGUGGAAGUAUAGAUUUUUCUGGCAAUUCAUUAGAGUAUAGCCCUGGAAAAGAAUUUGCAUAUCUUGCUGAAUGGUAGAUUCUGGUUUUUUCUUAGGUUGCGAAUAGAUAUCGUGCUCUUAAAUGUUAUUACAUAGCAGAUCUAUUCAUUAGAGUAAAAGAACAUUGCUUUAAUAAUCUAGCCACAACAUGUGUUGGUGCUAUGAAAUUUUAACCCCACUCACUGUAAGAUAUCUUUGAUUUGAGGUUCUAUUUGUUUGGUGAAAAAUGUAACAUCUCUAUGGAAAAUAAUAUUUAUGGAAAAUAAUAUUUUAGGAGGUAAACUUUUUUAGAAAAUUGUUUAUUUUCAAUGGUUUGAUUACAUUUAGAAAUUAUCUUCUAUAAGAAUUUCAUAUAUAUAUAUUUUUUAAUUCUAUUUGUUGUUGCAUAUUGAUAAUCUUACUUUGAGAUAUUGACACGUGUCAUCCAUUGAAGCCAUUUGCGAGCUUGACUUAGUCUAUUCUGCCGAUCGCUAAGGUUGAUUUUUAUCUAAUAAGAAAAGCUGAUUGCAUAUAUACACUCAGCAAUAAAUGAAAGCAUGCACCAGACGUCUACAAGAAGAUACUUCAAGUAUGGAGUUUGAUACGACUCACUCAAAAACUAGGGGUACCGAGCAGACUUUUAACCAAUCAACCACUGGGCAUUCCCAUGAUUACUUAUACUUCACCAGUGGAGGGAUGUUGGCUGUUUUUAUUACCAUACUGUUGCCUGGAUAUAAAUGCCUCUCUAAAAGAGCCAAACAUAGAUAAGUGAGAUUCGAACAGAAUAGGUAGUAAGUUUAGCAACAUUUAAUCAGAUCUUACUCGUAGAAUUGUUAAGCAUGUUAUUGUUUUAAUGGGGUUUCUGUUGCUGAUUUCAAUUCUAGGGAUUCUUCUCCUAAUGUGUUCUGUUUAGAGCUAUAACGAUUUCUUUUUUUUUUUUUUA
rnacentral:misc_RNA from 1 species